GGGCGCAUAGCUCAGUUGGUAGAGCUCCUGUUUUACACACAGGCGGUCAUAGGUUCAAGUCCUGUUGCGCCCA
rnacentral:tRNA from 1 species